UAUAUAUUAAUGUUUAAACCAAUUGAGCAUCGCCUUGAAGUUUGUCUUCCUUUUCUAGAUUAGUAUUUCUUUAUCUAGGUAGUAUUUCUUUAAAUAGGCAUUAAACGUUUCUCUUUUUUGUAAGUAUAAUUUACUUAUUUUCUUGUGUGUUACAGAAACUUAGGCGUAUCUGUGUGCUCCUCAGCCAGUGACAUUGGGGCAGUUGUUGCUCCGUUUAUUCUGUACAGGUUAGCUAGUAUUUGGCAAGAGCUUCCCCUCUUUGUCUAUGGGGCCAUGUCAGUUCUGUACAGUGGACUUGUGAUGCUUUUACCAGAAAUGAGAGGUGUUGAUCUGCCAGAAACUGUGGAUGAUAUGGAAAAUAUGAGAAGCAGGCGCAUACACAAGGAAAAAGAUGGGCCUCAAUUUCCUGAAAUAAACAUUGUUCCAAUGAAAGCAACUGAGAGAACAUCCUAGAAAUGAUUUCAUUUGCAAACAAUAAAUGUAAUCAGAACAUUUAUGGUUGAUAGCAUCACCAUGUA